GUCCCUUCGAAGAAAUCUGAUAAAACUGGAACUAUACAAAGAACAUUAGCAUGGCCCCUGUACUAGGAUGACAUGCACAAAUCGAGAAAAAUGAAGAAUAUAA